UCGAUCUCCGCCACCCUAGCGGCAUCGGGGGGCGGGACCGAACCGUGCGUCCGCCUACUGGACGUGCCCGCUCACCUGUGCGGAUGACGCAUCAGACGGGCCGUCCCGGCGGGUGCCGGGCAGGCGUCGGGCGGUCGUCAGGCGGGCUGCUGCGCCGCCGCGAUGCGCUCGUUGCGGAGCGCCUCGUACCACCGGUCGUCGGUCGGCGGCAGCGCGUUCACGUCCAGGGCCAGCUUCAGCAGCAGGUCCGCGACCUGCGGGUUGCGCGCCAGUACCGGGCCGUGCAUGUACGUGCCGAAGACCGUGUCGUUGUACGCGCCCUCCGUGCCGUCCCCGGUGCCGUUGCCGUUGCCGAAGUGGACCUGGGCGAGCGGGCGGGCGCCGGGGCCCAGGUGGGUGACGCCCUGGUGGUUCUCGAAGCCGGUCAGCGGGGGCAGGCCCAGGCGCGGGUCGAUGUCGCCGAGGACGUCGCCGACGCACCGGGCGCCCUCGCCGCGCGUGGAGACCACGUCGAGCAGGCCCAGGCCCGGCUCGCGCUGGCCCAGGUCGUUGAUGAACUCGUGGCCCAGGAUCUGGUAGCCGGCGCAGACGGAGAAGACGAUGGCACCGUUCCCCACCGCCCGGUGCAGGCCGCCGUCGCGGCGCAGCCGCUCGGCCGCGAGCCGCUGCGGGCGGUCCUCGCCGCCGCCGAUGAGAUAGAUGUCGCCGGAGGUCGGGAUCGGCUGGUCGCUGCGCACGUCGAGCCGGGCCACGUCGAGGCCGCGCUGCCGCGCCCGGCGCUCCACGACGAGGGCGUUGCCCUGGUCGCCGUACGUGCUGAGCAGGUCCGGGUAGAUCCAGACGAUGCGCAGUUGGUUGUCGCUCACGAGAGUCCCCUGAAGUUACGCGGUCAGUUGCCGACGCGGCGGCGCAGGUCCUGGAAGGCGGUGUAGUUCGCGAUGACCUCGAUCCGGCCGGGCGGGCACAGCGACACCGCCUGGUCGAGGUCCUCGCACACCUGGAACUGCUGGUUCGCGACCUCCAGGCGCACCGCGAGGUCCAGCUUCCGGUCGCCGAUCACGCAGAUCGGGUGGCCGCUCAGCCGGGUGUAGUCCACGUCCCACAGCCAGGACGUGUCGGUGCCGUCGGCGCCGCGCGCGUUCACCGAGAGGAUCACCGGGGCGGGCGGCGGGUCGAUAAGGGAGAAGGUCUCCAGCCAGCCCGCCGGGUUCUUGGCGAGCAGCAGGCGCAGAUCGCGCCCCUGGAACUGAACGACGUCGUAGCGUCCGGCGACCGCCUGCACCUGGUACAUGCGCUCCAGGGCGACCUGGGGCGGCACCCCGAAGACGGCGGCGACGGCGGCCGACGAGGCGGCGUUGGCCUUGUUGGCGCGGCCCGGCAGCUGGAGGUGGAUCGGCCAGGCGGAGCCGUGCGGGUCGAGGACGUGGUCGCCGGACAGCGCCCAGCUCGGCGUCGGGCGGCGGAAGCCGCACUCGCCGCAGAACCAGUCGUCGCCCGGACGCUGCAUCACACCGCCGCAGGACGGGCAUGAC
rnacentral:rRNA from 1 species